UAGGGAAUCUUCCGCAAUGGACGCAAGUCUGACGGAGCAACGCCGCGUGAGUGAAGAAGGAUUUCGGUUCGUAAAACUCUGUUGUUAGAGAAGAACAGCGCAUAGAGUAACUGUUAUGCGUGUGACGGUAUCUAACCAGAAAGCCACGGCUAACUACGUGUCAGCAGCCGCGGUAAUACGUAGGUGGCAAGCGUUGUCCGGAUUUAUUGGGCGUAAAGCGAGCGCAGGCGGUCAAUUAAGUCUGAUGUGAAAGCCCCCGGCUCAACCGGGGAGGGUCAUUGGAAACUGGUUGACUUGAGUGCAGAAGAGGAGAGUGGAAUUCCAUGUGUAGCGGUGAAAUGCGUAGAUAUAUGGAGGAACACCAGUGGCGAAGGCGACUCUCUGGUCUGUAACUGACGCUGAGGUUCGAAAGCGUGGGUAGCAAACAGG
rnacentral:rRNA from 1 species